rnacentral:rRNA from 1 species
AAUGAACGCUGGCGGCGUGCUUAGCACAUGCAAGUCGCACGAGAACUCUCCAGCUUGCUGGAGACAGUAAAGUGGCGUACGGGUGAGUAACACGUGGGUAAUCUGCCUCUGAAUCGGGGAUAACGUUGCGAAAGCGACGCUAAUACCGGAUAAUAUCCUGAGAACCCCGGUUUUCGGGAUCAAAGGUGGCCUCUGCAUGCAAGCUACUGUUUGGAGAUGAGCCCGCGCACCAUUAGCUAGUUGGCAGGGUAACGGCCUACCAAGGCUUCGAUGGUUAGCUGGUCUGAGAGGAUGAUCAGCCACACUGGAACUGACACACGGUCCAGACUCCUACGGGAGGCAGCAGUGAGAAAUUUUGCGCAAUGGGGGAAACCCUGUCGCAGAAGCGCCGCGUGAGUGAUGAAGGCCUUCGGGUCGUAAAGCUCUGUCAAGUGGGAAGAAUCUGAUUUGCGUCAAUAUCGCAGAUCACUGACGGUACCACUGAAGGAAGCACCGGCUAACUCCGUGCCAGCCGCCGCCGUAACAC